GCCUGGGUGGCUCAGUCGGUUGAGCAUCUGACUUCGGCUCAGCUCAUGAUCUCAUGACUCACGGGUUCGAACCCCAGGUU
rnacentral:tRNA from 1 species